rnacentral:rRNA from 1 species
CGUGUAGGCGGUUUAAUAAGUCAGAUGUAAAAGCCCCCGGCUCAACCGGGGAUGGUCAUUUGAAACUGUUAGGCUUGAGUGCGAGAGAGGGUAGUGGAAUUCCCAGUGUAGCGGUGAAAUGCGUAGAUAUUGGGAAGAACACCAGUAGCGAAGGCGGCUAUCUGGCUCGCAACUGACGCUAAGGCGCGAAAGCGUGGGGAGCAAACA